rnacentral:rRNA from 1 species
UACGAAGGGGGCUAGCGUUGCUCGGAAUUACUGGGCGUAAAGGGCGCGUAGGCGGCAAUUCAAGUCAUCUGUGAAAUCUCCGGGCUUAACCCGGAACGGUCAGAUGAUACUGCUUUGCUAGAGUGCGGAAGGGGCAAUCGGAAUUCUUGGUGUAGCGGUGAAAUGCGUAGAUAUCAAGAGGAACACCUGAGGUGAAGACGGGUUGCUGGGCCGACACUGACGCUGACAGCGCGAAAGCCAGGGGAGCAAACGGG